rnacentral:rRNA from 1 species
UACGGAGGGUGCAAGCGUUGUCCGGAUUUAUUGGGUUUAAAGGGUGCGUAGGCGGCCCGGUAAGUCAGUGGUGAAAGCCUCCAGCUCAACUGGAGAACUGCCAUUGAUACUGUCGGGCUUGAGUACAGACGAGGUUGGCGGAAUUGACGGUGUAGCGGUGAAAUGCAUAGAUAUCGUCAAGAACACCGAUAGCGAAGGCAGCUUACUGGGCUGUAACUGACGCUGAGGCACGAAAGUGUGGGGAUCAAACAGG